UACGACGGGGGCUAGCGUUGCUCGGAAUCACUGGGCGUAAAGCGCACGUAGGCGGCUUUUUAAGUCAGGGGUGAAAUCCUGGAGCUCAACUCCAGAACUGCCUUUGAUACUGAGAAGCUUGAGUCCGGGAGAGGUGAGUGGAACUGCGAGUGUAGAGGUGAAAUUCGUAGAUAUUCGCAAGAACACCAGUGGCGAAGGCGGCUCACUGGCCCGGUACUGACGCUGAGGUGCGAAAGCGUGGGGAGCAAACAGG
rnacentral:rRNA from 1 species